rnacentral:rRNA from 1 species
AGAGUUUGAUCCUGGCUCAGAAUCAACGCUGGCGGCGUGCCUCAGACAUGCAAGUCGAACGAUUAAACUUCUCUUCGGAGAAGAUAUAAAGUGGCGCACGGGUGAGUAACACGUAGGUAAUCUACCUUUGAGUGGGGAAUAACUUAGGGAAACUUAAGCUAAUACCGCAUAAUGCAAUCAUGUCUAUGACAUUUUUGUUAAAGGAGCAAUCCGCUUAAAGAGGAGCCUGCGGCAGAUUACGCUAGUUGGUAAGGUAAUGGCUUACCAAGGCUACGAUCUGUAACCGACCUGAGAGGGUGGUCGGUCACACUGACACUGAAUAACGGGUCAGACUCCUACGGGAGGCAGCAGUCGGGAAUUUUGGGCAAUGGGCGAAAGCCUGACCCAGCAACGCCGCGUGAAGGAUGAAGUCUUUCGGGAUGUAAACUUCGUAAGAAUGGGAAGAAUAAAUGACGGUACCAUUUGUAAGGUCCGGCUAACUACGUGCCACCAGCCGCGGUAAUACGUAGGGACCAAGCGUUGUUCGGAUUUACUGGGCGUAAAGGGCGCGUAGGCGGCGUGACAAGUCAGUUGUGAAAUCCCGAGCUUAACUCGGAACGGUCAACUGAUACUGUUGUGCUAGAGUACAGAAUGGGCAAUCGGAAUUCUUGGUGUAGCGGUGAAAUGC